rnacentral:rRNA from 1 species
UACAGAGGUCCCAAGCGUUGUUCGGAUUCAUUGGGCGUAAAGGGUGCGUAGGCGGCGCGGUAAGUCGGGUGUGAAAUCUCGGAGCUUAACUCCGAAACUGCAUUCGAUACUGCCGUGCUUGAGGACUGGAGAGGAGACUGGAAUUUACGGUGUAGCGGUGAAAUGCGUAGAUAUCUGGAGGAACACCGGUGGCGAAGGCGGGUCUCUGGGCAGUAACUGACGCUGAGGAGCGAAAGCGUGGGGAGCGAACAGG